AUGAUAGUUUUUAAGUUAUAAGUUUAAAAGUUUAUAAGUUAAAAAGUAUUGCACCGCGAGGGGUCGCGGUAGGUUCCCCAAGUUGUUUUUAGACAGCUUGGAAAAAAUUUGGCUGUAUGCUGGAAAAACCGAGCAUCCAACAAUACCGAAAGGUAAAAAUUUGUUGGUGCGGUCAAUCAGCAGGGAAGUUCCACAAGGAACCCCUCAGAGACUAUACGCCAAACCCUAAAUCACUUUGCCUAUUGGCAAAUGAUCGGGAAGAUAUAGUCCGAACUGCAUGGCGACAUGCAG
rnacentral:ncRNA from 1 species